ACUUGCCGGUGCGUCUCCUCCUCCCAUUGCGCGCCCGCAAGUGUUCCCCUCUGGAGGUAUAGCCGGAAACGGCACCUUCAAAACUUAAGGCCGGGCAAUUGUCCGGCCUCUUUU
rnacentral:sRNA from 1 species